UAAGGGAGCCAACCCUUGGAUUUAGGGCUCACUCUUAUCCAGGAUGAUCUCAUCUCAACUUGAUUACAUUUGCAAAGAUCCUAUUUCCAAAGAAGAUCACAUUCAUAGGUA